CACACCCACCCCCGAGAAGUCGAGACUUUCUGGAUAGCUUAUGGGUCCCAGCUGGGAGUCACGCAGACUUGGCAAAGAACCGUCUUUCUGUUGAAUUCAACUCUGCUCUAGCUAGCAGUGCAGCUCCAUCUUCUAUAUUAUACUCAAGGCAAGGAAUUAGGAGCAGACCGGAGACUUGGGGGCUUCACCUGCUGUAUCUCAUUACCAUCUGCAUCUGGUUGCCCGUUGAUUGAGAAGGAGGAGCUGAGGGCCAUGGCGACCGAGAAGCCCAUCCUGUACAACGCCUGGAUCAGCUCCUGCUCCCACCGUGUUCGCAUCGCACUCAACCUCAAAGGUGUGGAUUACGAGUACAAGUCGGUAAACCCUAGGACAGAUCCAGAUUAUGGAAAAAUCAAUCCAAUUAAAUAUAUUCCAGCAUUAGUAGAUGGGGGCAUAGUCGUUUCUGAUUCUCUUGCCAUCUCACUGUAUUUGGAAGAUAAGUAUCCUGAGCAUCCACUCCUGCCUAAAGAUCUCAAGAGGAAAGCUCUUAAUCUUCAGAUUGCAAACAUUGUUUGUUCAAGCAUUCAACCUCUUCAAGGCUAUGCUGUUAUUGGUCUGCAUGAGGGUAGGAUGAGCCCAGAUGAGGGCCUUCAUAUUGUUCAAAGUUAUAUUGACAAGGGAUUCAGAGCGAUCGAAAAGCUGUUGGAAGGAUGUGAGAGUAAAUAUGCUACUGGAGAUGAUGUCCAAUUGGUUUGCUUUUCUACCCAACCCUUCAAUAUUACACUGUUUUUUGCUUUGAUCAAUCACAUAGAAAUCGUCUACAUAGUGGCAUCAUCAUAUCAAUCGUGCAUAGUUUUUUUUUCUCCAAACUACAUUUCGACAAAAUUUCUCAUUAGUCUCUUGACGUCCAACUUUGAGAAAGUGUCAUCUUACUUGAAUUUUAUUAAGAAUUAAUGUGCUGCAAAACAAUUUGGCAUAAUUUGUGUUUCCUCUGUUAAGUGGUCUGACUGAGCUAGUCUGAAGUUUUCAUAUUUUAUGCUCAUGGACAGGCAGAUGUGUUCCUUGAACCACAGAUACAUGCCGGCAUAAAUCGCUUCCAAAUCGAUAUGUCGAUGUACCCAAUCUUGGAGAGGCUCCAUGAUGCAUACAUGCAAAUUCCCGCAUUCCAAGCCGCGCUUCCUAAAAAUCAACCAGACGCACCUUCAUCAUAAUCAUCAAGAUUAUCUCAAUAAUUUGCAUGUCAUUUUGUAAUAAUUUGGAUAGGGAGCCACUGCUUCCUCCAUCCCGUUGUGGAUCAAAAGGGUGAACGAUUGGCACUUACCUGCAUGGUCCAAUACCUAUUAUAUUUCUUAAACAGAUACUAUUUACGGCUAUUGUAAUUUAAGCCCAAUACCUGCAUGGUCCGUUUUCUACCA